rnacentral:rRNA from 1 species
AUUGAACGCUGGCGGCAGGCUUAACACAUGCAAGUCGAGCGGGGUGAUGGUGCUUGCACUAUCACUUAGCGGCGGACGGGUGAGUAAUGCUUAGGAAUCUGCCUAUUAGUGGGGGACAACAUCUCGAAAGGGAUGCUAAUACCGCAUACGUCCUACGGGAGAAAGCAGGGGAUCACUUGUGACCUUGCGCUAAUAGAUGAGCCUAAGUCGGAUUAGCUAGUUGGUGGGGUAAAGGCCUACCAAGGCGACGAUCUGUAGCGGGUCUGAGAGGAUCAGCCGCCACACUGGGACUGAGACACGGCCCAGAGUCCUACGGGAGGCAGCAGUGGGGAAUAUUGGACAAUGGGGGGAACCCUGAUCCAGCCAUGCCGCGUGUGUGAAGAAGGCCUUAUGGUUGUAAAGCACUUUAAGCGAGGAGGAGGCUCUUUUGGUUAAUACCCAAGAUGAGUGGACGUUACUCGCAGAAUAAGCACCGGCUAACUCUGUGCCAGCCGCCGCAGUAA